GACGUAGGGCGCGAGCGUUGUCCGGAUUUAUUGGGCGUAAAGGGUGCGUAGGCGGCGCGGUAAGUCGGGUGUGAAAUCUCGGGGCUUAACUCCGAAACUGCAUUCGAUACUGCCGUGCUUGAGGACUGGAGAGGAGACUGGAAUUUACGGUGUAGCGGUGAAAUGCGUAGAUAUCGUAAGGAAGACCAGUGGCGAAGGCGGGUCUCUGGACAGUUCCUGACGCUGAGGCACGAAGGUCAGGGGAGCAAACGGG
rnacentral:rRNA from 1 species